UACGUAGGCAGCAAGCGUUGUUCGGAAUUAUUGGGCGUAAAGAGUGCGUAGGCGGUGUUCCAAGUCUGUCGUGAAAUCUCCCGGCUCAACUGGGAGGGUGCGGCGGAAACUGGAAUGCUAGAGGGUGGGAGAGGUAAGCGGAAUUCCUGGUGUAGCGGUGAAAUGCGUAGAUAUCAGGAGGAACACCGGUGGCGAAGGCGCACAUCUGGCCCGAUACUGACGCUGAGGCGCGAAAGCUAGGGG
rnacentral:rRNA from 1 species